rnacentral:rRNA from 1 species
CAACGGAUAAAAGCUACCCCGGGGAUAACAGGCUUAUCUCCCCCAAGAGUUCACAUCGACGGGGAGGUUUGGCACCUCGAUGUCGGCUCAUCGCAUCCUGGGGCUGUAGUCGGUCCCAAGGGUUGGGCUGUUCGCCCAUUAAAGCGGUACGCGAGCUGGGUUCAGAACGUCGUGAGACAGUUCGGUCCCUAUCCGUCGUGGGCGUAGGAAAUUUGAGAGGAGCUGUCCUUAGUACGAGAGGACCGGGAUGGACAUACCUCUGGUGUACCAGUUGUCGUGCCAACGGCAUAGCUGGGUAGCUAUGUGUGGACGGGAUAAGUGCUGAAAGCAUCUAAGCAUGAAGCCCCCCUCAAGAUGAGAUUUCCCAACUUCGGUUAUAAGAUCCCUCAAAGAUGAUGAGGUUAAUAGGUUCGAGGUGGAAGCAUGGUGACAUGUGGAGCUGACGAAUACUAAUCGAUCGAAGACUUAAUCAAAA